UAGUGUGACAUUUCAUUACAGUUAUGAGCUUAUUAUGCAUUGAUGAGGGACGCAAUCGCGUUUAUGAUUUUUCAACAACAUGAUCUCAGGUAAGAGUCAUGUGUUAUAAAACGACAAUUUUGACAGUUUAACCAGCAAAAAUUAACAUCCAAGUUGAAGACAAGCAAGCAGACUUCAGCCACUACCAAAAAGACUUGUCAUGUUCCAGAACCCACUUUAUCAACAAGAAGCAGUGGACGUAAAAGAUGCAUGAAAUUUGUUGGAAGAAAGAUUUCACAUGCGUGGUGUCCAGCUGAAGGGUCACAGAUAAGCCGAUGGUACACUGGAAUGGUUUUAGAUUGUAUCAAGGGAAAAGAUGGUGACAGGACAGCUGUUUAUGAAGUUGCAUAUGAGGGGGAGGCAGCUUCCAGCACACUAUCAAAUUUGCAGCAAGACUUGGACAAAGGUUCCCUGAAGUUUAUAGAUAUUUAGUCAGCCAGCCACAUAUCCAGUCAGCCAGCCACAUAUCCAGUCAGUCAGCCACCUCUCCAGUAGUGUACACAGCCAC